rnacentral:misc_RNA from 1 species
UGGGUCUAGAUUGUUGAAAACAGAAACUGAAGAUGGUGAACAAGAAGAUGAAGAAUCCACUGGUACUACUGGCUGUAGAAACAUGCUGUUUUCAGCUAAUUCAGUGAAAUUCUGAGUGAAACAGAUAUUUUCAGUAUGGUUUUGCAUGUUGUUGUGAUACCAAUCUACAUCUGUACCAUCUAACAUAGAUUUGAAUGUAGAAAGUGCACCCAAUUCCAUAUCUUGUUUGUUUUCAAGCUCAACAUUAGUGGUAUUCUCCUUGUUGCUAAAAUUUUCUUCUUUUUCUUCUUCUUGUUUGCCUUCCAUAUCCCAAACCUGCAUACUGUUAACUCUUGAGAGCA